CUUCUGCUGGUUAUUUCAAUUUGAUUGUCUUCUAAUGUUCUAACUUCUAAAAUUCUCAACUAUCUUACAUCAGAUUUUUGGUAUCAGAGCCAAACCUGGUUUGACAAGCCAACUGCAAUCAUGAGUUAUGGAAAUUGCUGUUCAAUAAUACCAGUUAAACUCCCACUAUUCCUAGCAUUAGCAUCUCUCCAAACUAAUCGGCAGGCUGCUGAAUUCUUCUUCCGCAAACUCUGUAAAGUUAUUAAGAUAAAUCUGGGGUCAAUGAUCAGAGAGAGCGGCGACUGUAAUUGUUUGUCCAAUAUAUCUAUAACUGCAAACCGCAAUUCUCACCAUUAUCUUCAACACGACAAAACCAACGCAUUUCCAAAAGUCCAAUAGCCCAUUGCAUAUACACUUAACACCCAAAUUGCAGCCAAUGACUUCUAUACAAAUAUUUUGAGACCCAUUAUACCAAAUCUGAUUCCAAAUUGCCACCACAGUAACCUUCACCCAUUGCAACCAUCAACUUUCAACACCCAGGAACUUAAAAAAAAAAAAAAAAACUGACCACACUUCCCACAUCUUCAUCCACUUCUGAAACUACCCCAGUUACACACAAUCAAGACACACACCCCACCAAUCUGCUGGUAACCCAUGACAUAUGACCAGUAAUUGUAUACUUCAACCACAAUCCAAGCUACAGAAUUCAACAACCCACAUACCGUCAUCUACAGAGCCCAUAAAGUCAUCCUUGUUUCUGACUAACCCCGGUCGACUUUCUUCCAUCAUGGACGAAAACCCACAGAAAUUUCAUUGAUGGCAUUUACAACACCACAGAAAACCCACGCUGCAGUGCCCCCACCCCCGGACGACACCCACACCACCACUCAAGUUCCGUCGUCGACACAUAUAUAUACUACCACUGUCAAAACACCAUUUCCACGCCAACAAUCCAUACACAGUUGCUCCAGUGACCUUACUCUUCCACAAACCACCGCUGCAAGUCGCGACCGUGUGAUCAAGAAAUCCAACAAUAAUCUGAACCGCUUCUCAACGUUCACCAUAAGAGUCACCAAUCGAGCCUUCCAUCUCCAAUAGAAGCUGAUUGUCCCAGAAAUCAGGCAAUCCAGACGCUACCAACGUGAUUUGUCUCAGAGUGUUGGACCUCUGUUAUUAUAUACGCUAAUUUGCGAUUUGGGCUCGGUCAUACCUUGUUUGUUUGUAUAGUGUUUAGUAACUUUGUUUGUAAAAAACAAAAAAAAGAGUAAAAAAGAAGAAGUUAUUAUUAUUAUAUAUAUAUUUUUAACAUCAUUUUCAGGUAUCUCUUUCAUUCCAGUUGAUUGGACACGGCUUCUUCAAACGAACAAAGGGGAAGUCAUUGUUUUUAUUCAUCCUCAGUUUAUAUUGUUGUUUAUCUUGAAUUGUAUCAAUUAGCUUUUGUGCUGCAGCCUUUACAUAAAAUUCACGUGAUUAACUCUCCUUGUCAUAUUUUUACCUUUACCAUCCCCAUUUAUUUUACGUACUUAUGUCGUUGACUAGUGUUUGGCCCUUGCUUUAUUAUUUUACAUAGAUCAACAGUAUUAGCUUGACACAUUUGAAUUUACUGCAUUCAGUUAGUGUUACAUUGCAUGCAUUUGCUAGUGGUCGUUUUCUCACACCCAAUUCCAAUACUGUGAUUAUGGACCCUUCUCAAUUUGAUGCCCUUACUCGGCAAUUAGCUCAACUACAUGAUCAAUUAGCAACCGUCCAAACCGAGGUGACUGCCACUUGUGAAGAUAGUAGAGAACUAGCUGCUAGGGUGAACAAUUUAGAACAAAACUCUCCCUCAACCGACGUUGAUAACUCUGAAGCGUCUCAUAACAUACCCUAUCGUCAUCGACAUGGGGAUCGACAACGUGUUCGUCAUGGGCCAAGGAAUGGGGAACAGGAGCGCAAUCAUGAGCGAAACCAUGACCAUUAUGGUACUCACUCACCUUCUCGCUAUGAGGAGUGUUACUUUCGAAACAUCAAAUUAGACGCUCCUACUUUCGAUGGAUGUUUAGAUCCUAGAGUUUUUACACAAUGGAUUAGAGAUAUGGAUCAUUUCUUUUCAUGGUAUGGAGUCCCAGAGGACCGAAGAGUUCAAUUUGCCAGUUUGAAAUUAACUGGUAUUGCCCAACUCUUUUGGGAAAGCGUUGAGGACCUUCUUGAGAGGCGUCAUGCACCUCCCGUUGGAGGUUGGGAGGAAAUGAAGUGUCGCCUUCAAGAGAAGUAUUUACCUCACUCUUAUAGGAGCAACUUGUUGGACCAGUGGAAUACCCUCACACAAGGAAACCAUCCAGUGACUGACUAUGUUACUCAAUUUGAUGAAUUCUGAAUGCGAUGCCACAUCUUCGAGGAUGAAGCUAUGACUUUAAGUAGGUUCAGAAAAGGCCUAAGAGAUGAUCUUUGGCGUGAGCUUGUCCUUCGAGGUGUCACCACUCUUGAUCACGCUUAUUCCUUAGUUCGAGAUUACGAGUUGAUUACUAAGACUCCGUAUGGAAGGAGUAGUGAUAAUCGUCCAUCCAUUUCAUCAGCACCACCUCCUCCCACCAAAUCUCUUCUUAGACCCCCACCGUCUAACGCACUCCCUACUUUAGACAGUAAAGGUAAAGCUCCAAAAACUUCAAGAACCUCUUCUCGUUUGCAAUGCUUUAAUUGCUAGGGUUUCGGCCAUAUCUCCUCUAGAUGUCUGAGUCGAGCCUUAGUUAUUGACGAGCGAAAGGAUGUCGUUGAUGAGCCUUUAGACGAUCAAAUCUAUGAGCCUAACUUUGAAGAGUUUGACGAUUUGGGUGAUAAUGAGGAUACCUUCUUAGGUUGCCUUCAUACCCUUCCUGUAGGUUUAGGUUCUACUUAUCUGUCCCCCGACACAUCUCGGUUGAGUGUUGUACGUUGUACCCUUACCCAAUCUAAGGAUGUUGAUGAUUGGCGCCGUCAUGCCAUUUUUCAUACUUACAUCAAGAUC
rnacentral:lncRNA from 1 species